rnacentral:rRNA from 1 species
UGAGGUGGGAUCCCGGGAAGGCUCUCGCGGUCGGCCCCGGGCGCACCACCGGCCCGUCUCGCCCGCCCCGUCGGGGAGGUGGAGCCUGAGCGCGUGCGAUAGGACCCGAAAGAUGGUGAACUAUGCCUGGGCAGGGC